GACAGCGGUGGACGUUAACCUAUACAGGGAGCUUUUGUUAUUCUUCCCCACGGACCUGCUGGAUGUCGUUACUGCAGAGGGAGCUCAAAUCGCUCUCGGCAUCUUCAACUCCUUGGCAGCAAGCGCCCUGAUGCCGUGUCUUGACGAAAGAAGACGAGUGGCCAUCGCUAAUCUGAUCACAAAGUACAAAGGCGAUGACCCGACGACAUGGCGGCAAAUGUCGGGGCUGUGUUGCCUGCUGUACACGCUGCCGUCGGGGACGCUGAGCCGCAUCCCCCGCGGGGCCCUCAUGUCCUGUCGGUGCCCCAUCGCCGACCGCGCCCAGUACGCCCCAGAGGACGA
rnacentral:lncRNA from 1 species